AAAUCCCUUAAGGGCAGUAAUAACACGCAUGGAAAUCAAUGCAGCUGGAAUUGAUGUUCACCAGGAGAACCUGCGUUGUUGACCGGAAAAAUCCCCGAUGAGAUCUCUGCGUCUCUGCGUCUGACGACUGAAACGUUUCUGGAUCAGGGCGCAGAAAUGUGUCGGCAGGCGGAGUUCGUGUGCGUCGGUGUCGCCGCUGCCUGGCAGAGAUUUCAUCGUGAACAUGAUCUGGGCUGAAGAUCUGCAGCUGAUGUUGAUGAUCUCUGUCACUGG